rnacentral:rRNA from 1 species
GACGAACGCUGGCGGCGUGCUUAACACAUGCAAGUCGAGCGGUAAGGCCCUUUGGGGUACACGAGCGGCGAACGGGUGAGUAACACGUGAGUAAUCUGCCUUUGGCUUGGGAAUAACUUCGGGAAAUCGGGGCUAAUGCCUGAUGUUUACUGUCUGCUGCAUGGUGGGUGGUGGAAAGAUUUUUUGGCCAGGGAUGAGCUCGCGGUCUAUCAGCUUGUUGGUGGGGUAAUGGCUACCAAGGCUUUGACGGGUAGCCGGCCUGAGAGGGUGUUCGGCCACACUGGGACUGAGACACGGCCCAGACUCCUACGGGAGGCAGCAGUGGGGAAUUUUGGACAAUGGGCGCAAGCCUGAUCCAGCCAUGCCGCGUGCGGGAAGAAGGCCUCGGUU